GUUAUCAGCCCCCCUUCAAGCUGGAGAUUGGAUGUGCUUGUAGCUCAAUUAAUCCCAGCUUGGACACAAGAACAGAAAAGGAAGGACCGCCGAGGCUUUUGGUGAAAAUAUCAGCCAGUUGAUGUUGGGCUGGAACAUGCUGAGGUUGAAUGAGGUCUUUUGUGAUUUGCUCCCUGACGAUAUGACAAUCAAUGUCGAGAUGUUUGGUUCUUUCAUGGAAGAUUGGAUUGGAUGCGAUGUAAAGUGCUGCUUUGUUAUCACAAUAUAGUUUGACAGGAAGCAAAGUACGUAUUUGGAAAGUUUGAAGUAGAUAUGAUAGCCAUUUUAGUUCGCAAACCGUAGAAGCCAUGCUUCUAUAUUCGGCCUCAGCGGAAGAGCGGCUCACAGUGGGUUGCUUUUUAGACUUCCAUGAGACUAGUGAUUGACCAAGGAAAAUGCAAAAACCCGUGAUGGAACGCUUGGUUUCAGUACAAG
rnacentral:misc_RNA from 1 species